CGCCCCGCCCUCCUGCUCCGGAGCCGGCCUGGGACCGGAAGCGACGCCACGGCCUGGGAGUCCCGCUCCGGGACUCCGCCCUCGGAAGCUGCAAGAAAACUACAGUUCCCAGCUGCCCGCGCAGCAUAGGCGCAAACCUUGGACCGGGAGUUCUCGUGAAUGCCACGAGACUGCGGCUUGGGAUUCGGGCGUGCUCUCUGCUGUGGGAGGUGAGCCGGCUGUGCGCCUGGAGACCGCCCAUCGGUUUCCUCAUGGCGCUGUGAAUGGAUUCUGGGGAUGACUUUGCAUUUCCAUCACCAAUGACUCCCCCAGUCCUGGUCUGCUGACAGAAAUUGAGUAGACUAUAGCUGUUCUGCCUAUACUAUCUCUGACUUCAAGAUGUCCAUAUAUUGUCCUGCUUUCUUCAGUCAUCUGUAAAGGUGAAAAUCAACAACAACAACAAAAUGUUGCUAUGAGGAUUAGAUGAGCUCAGGAAGGUGAAAGUGCCAAGAGAAGAGUCGCUUGAGAGAAGGAACCAUCUUAUUCAUCUCUGCAUCACCAGGGACUGGAACAUUGUUGGUAAUUGAUACAUUUUUAAAAAUACA